AAUGAUAGAAAUUUAAACACUUUUUAAAGUAUCAAUUGGAGGGCAAGUCUGGUGCCAGCAGCCGCGGUAAUUCCAGCUCCAAUAGCGUAUAUUAAAAUUGUUGCAGUUAAAAAGCUCGUAGUUGAAUUUCUGUUAAAAAUAACCGGUCUGCUUUUUUUAUUAAAAGUUGNAUCAUUUUGGUGUGUUUUUAACAAUAAUAAUGUCCUUUGAAAAUGUUUUUUACUUUAUUGUAAUAAGUCAUUGUUUUGAGGAUUUUUACUUUGAGAAAAUUAGAGUGNUUUUAGCAGGCUUUUACGCUUUUGAAUACUGCANCAUGGAAAUAAUAAGAUAGGAUUUUNGUUCUNCAUUAUUGGUUUUAAGAACUAAAUUAAUGAUUGNNNGGGAUNGNUGGGGGCAUUUGUAUUUAACUGUCNGANGNGAAAUUCUUAAAUUUGUUAAAGACAAACUUUUGCCAAAGNNUUUGCCAAANAUGUUUUCAUUAAUCAAGAACAAAAGUUAGGGGAUCGAAAA
rnacentral:rRNA from 1 species